UACGAAGGGGGCUAGCGUUGCUCGGAAUCACUGGGCGUAAAGCGCACGUAGGCGGAUUGCUAAGUCAGGGGUGAAAUCCUGGAGCUCAACUCCAGAACUGCCUUUGAUACUGAAGAUCUUGAGUUCGGGAGAGGUGAGUGGAACUCCGAGUGUAGAGGUGAAAUUCGUAGAUAUUCGGAAGAACACCAGUGGCGAAGGCGGCUCACUGGUCCAUUACUGACGCUGAGGUGCGAAAGCGUGGGGAGCAACAGG
rnacentral:rRNA from 1 species